rnacentral:ncRNA from 1 species
AAUGUUGCAAUAGUAAUUGAUCUUAGUAAGAGAGGAACCGGUCAUUCGGAUAAUUGAUAUUUGGGCCUGCCUCAGCAGGCAAUGGCCCGAAGUUAUCACUGUUGGGUUAUAGCUGAUCGCCUCUAAGUCAGAACCCGUGCUAGAACGCGACUAUUACCGCCUUGUGCCAUUUUUGGUUGAAUACGAAUAGAUCCUCGGAUCCUGAAUCAUACUACGUGGGGUUAUCUUGCAGAGCGGAAAGACUUUGUGAGGUUCCUACCAAUGUUAAUUUCAAAUAUUGGAAGAGAUGAAUCUACUGCAGACGACUUUCAUUGAACGGGGUAUUGUGAGCAGUAGAGUAGCCUUGUUGUUACGAUCUGCUGAGAUCAAGCCCAUUUGCUCCAUAGAUUU